GGGUUGUGAGGUUAAGCGACUAAGCGUACACGGUGGAUGCCCUGGCAGUCAGAGGCGAUGAAGGACGUGCUAAUCUGCGAUAAGCGUCGGUAAGGUGAUAUGAACCGUUAUAACCGGCGAUUUCCGAAUGGGGAAACCCAGUGUGAUUCGACACACUAUCAUUAACUGAAUCCAUAGGUUAAUGAGGCGAACCGGGGGAACUGAAACAUCUAAGUACCCCGAGGAAAAGAAAUCAACCGAGAUUCCCCCAGUAGCGGCGAGCGAACGGGGAGCAGCCCAGAGCCUGAAUCAGUGUGUGUGUUAGUGGAAGCGUCUGGAAAGGCGCGCGAUACAGGGUGACAGCCCCGUACACAAAAAUGCACAUGCUGUGAGCUCGAUGAGUAGGGCGGGACACGUGGUAUCCUGUCUGAAUAUGGGGGGACCAUCCUCCAAGGCUAAAUACUCCUGACUGACCGAUAGUGAACCAGUACCGUGAGGGAAAGGCGAAAAGAACCCCGGCGAGGGGAGUGAAAAAGAACCUGAAACCGUGUACGUACAAGCAGUGGGAGCACGCUUAGGCGUGUGACUGCGUACCUUUUGUAUAAUGGGUCAGCGACUUAUAUUCUGUAGCAAGGUUAACCGAAUAGGGGAGCCGAAGGGAAACCGAGUCUUAACUGGGCGUUAAGUUGCAGGGUAUAGACCCGAAACCCGGUGAUCUAGCCAUGGGCAGGUUGAAGGUUGGGUAACACUAACUGGAGGACCGAACCGACUAAUGUUGAAAAAUUAGCGGAUGACUUGUGGCUGGGGGUGAAAGGCCAAUCAAACCGGGAGAUAGCUGGUUCUCCCCGAAAGCUAUUUAGGUAGCGCCUCGUGAAUUCAUCUCCGGGGGUAGAGCACUGUUUCGGCAAGGGGGUCAUCCCGACUUACCAACCCGAUGCAAACUGCGAAUACCGGAGAAUGUUAUCACGGGAGACACACGGCGGGUGCUAACGUCCGUCGUGAAGAGGGAAACAACCCAGACCGCCAGCUAAGGUCCCAAAGUCAUGGUUAAGUGGGAAACGAUGUGGGAAGGCCCAGACAGCCAGGAUGUUGGCUUAGAAGCAGCCAUCAUUUAAAGAAAGCGUAAUAGCUCACUGGUCGAGUCGGCCUGCGCGGAAGAUGUAACGGGGCUAAACCAUGCACCGAAGCUGCGGCAGCGACGCUUAUGCGUUGUUGGGUAGGGGAGCGUUCUGUAAGCCUGCGAAGGUGUGCUGUGAGGCAUGCUGGAGGUAUCAGAAGUGCGAAUGCUGACAUAAGUAACGAUAAAGCGGGUGAAAAGCCCGCUCGCCGGAAGACCAAGGGUUCCUGUCCAACGUUAAUCGGGGCAGGGUGAGUCGACCCCUAAGGCGAGGCCGAAAGGCGUAGUCGAUGGGAAACAGGUUAAUAUUCCUGUACUUGGUGUUACUGCGAAGGGGGGACGGAGAAGGCUAUGUUGGCCGGGCGACGGUUGUCCCGGUUUAAGCGUGUAGGCUGGUUUUCCAGGCAAAUCCGGAAAAUCAAGGCUGAGGCGUGAUGACGAGGCACUACGGUGCUGAAGCAACAAAUGCCCUGCUUCCAGGAAAAGCCUCUAAGCAUCAGGUAACAUCAAAUCGUACCCCAAACCGACACAGGUGGUCAGGUAGAGAAUACCAAGGCGCUUGAGAGAACUCGGGUGAAGGAACUAGGCAAAAUGGUGCCGUAACUUCGGGAGAAGGCACGCUGAUAUGUAGGUGAAGCGACUUGCUCGUGGAGCUGAAAUCAGUCGAAGAUACCAGCUGGCUGCAACUGUUUAUUAAAAACACAGCACUGUGCAAACACGAAAGUGGACGUAUACGGUGUGACGCCUGCCCGGUGCCGGAAGGUUAAUUGAUGGGGUCAGCGCAAGCGAAGCUCUUGAUCGAAGCCCCGGUAAACGGCGGCCGUAACUAUAACGGUCCUAAGGUAGCGAAAUUCCUUGUCGGGUAAGUUCCGACCUGCACGAAUGGCGUAAUGAUGGCCAGGCUGUCUCCACCCGAGACUCAGUGAAAUUGAACUCGCUGUGAAGAUGCAGUGUACCCGCGGCAAGACGGAAAGACCCCGUGAACCUUUACUAUAGCUUGACACUGAACAUUGAGCCUUGAUGUGUAGGAUAGGUGGGAGGCUUUGAAGUGUGGACGCCAGUCUGCAUGGAGCCGACCUUGAAAUACCACCCUUUAAUGUUUGAUGUUCUAACGUUGACCCGUGAUCCGGGUUGCGGACAGUGUCUGGUGGGUAGUUUGACUGGGGCGGUCUCCUCCUAAAGAGUAACGGAGGAGCACGAAGGUUGGCUAAUCCUGGUCGGACAUCAGGAGGUUAGUGCAAUGGCAUAAGCCAGCUUGACUGCGAGCGUGACGGCGCGAGCAGGUGCGAAAGCAGGUCAUAGUGAUCCGGUGGUUCUGAAUGGAAGGGCCAUCGCUCAACGGAUAAAAGGUACUCCGGGGAUAACAGGCUGAUACCGCCCAAGAGUUCAUAUCGACGGCGGUGUUUGGCACCUCGAUGUCGGCUCAUCACAUCCUGGGGCUGAAGUAGGUCCCAAGGGUAUGGCUGUUCGCCAUUUAAAGUGGUACGCGAGCUGGGUUUAGAACGUCGUGAGACAGUUCGGUCCCUAUCUGCCGUGGGCGCUGGAGAACUGAGGGGGGCUGCUCCUAGUACGAGAGGACCGGAGUGGACGCAUCACUGGUGUUCGGGUUGUCAUGCCAAUGGCACUGCCCGGUAGCUAAAUGCGGAAGAGAUAAGUGCUGAAAGCAUCUAAGCACGAAACUUGCCCCGAGAUGAGUUCUCCCUGACUCCUUGAGAGUCCUGAAGGAACGUUGAAGACGACGACGUUGAUAGGCCGGGUGUGUAAGCGCAGCGAUGCGUUGAGCUAACCGGUACUAAUGAACCGUGAGGCUUAACCUUACAACGCCGAAG
rnacentral:rRNA from 1 species